rnacentral:misc_RNA from 1 species
GCCAGUCCAACUUGAUAACUAUCAGAAAACCAAAAUUAGGGGAGCUCAGCUCAAUCCUGAUACCCAUUAUGCACAAAUCAAUUAAUCUCCAUUAAUUAAUAUAACACAUAAAUAUAUUGGCAUUAAAGCGAAGUUCUAAUAGUUAAAUAGAUAAAUAGAUAAAUAAAUAAAAACUAUAAAAACUACUAAUUAAGAAGCACCUUAACCUGCGGAGAAAAAAUGCUUGCUGGACUCGAAAAUAAACUUGCUCCUCCUACAACCUGAAAUGGAGCUUUUUCACCGAUUUGAA